rnacentral:lncRNA from 1 species
GUAUUUCCAACGGCCUCUUGUGCAUUCAUUUUUAGGGGUUUUACCCUUUAGCAAUCCGUCGUCUCCUCAAAUUUAAAAAGGUAAAAUAGUAUACCCUUAAAUUUGACAGUGGACUGUUUUUCUCCUUUAAACACUACUAGAUCUGGUCCCGCCCGACCGGACGGGUGUUUUUUUUCUGUUUACGUAAUGCAAUUAAAAAUUUUUACAUCAUUAUAUAAUGUAUCAAAAUUUUAAUACAAAUAAUGACAAAAAUACAUCACAUAAUACAAAUAUUGCUGUAACAUAAUUUGAUCACACGGUGGUAACAAAAUUGAUCCUACUGUGAUAAGGUAAUUUAAUUUGGGCCACAUUUCUAUUGAAAAUCAUUAAAAUAUGAUGAAAUAAAGAAUUAUGAGUUAGUAUGAUAUAUGAAAUAGAUAAAUAAAGUAUAAUUUUUUUACGGAAAUUAAUCUCUACUAAUAAAAGGGAGCUUUUGAGGCUCCAUAGGGCGUCCACAUCAGCGGAAAAAAAUUUUCUCGAAAGAUGACACGUGGCAUAAAAUAUAGUUUUACAUUUUAAUAUUAAUUAUUUUCGUAAU